CGAUCUUCGAUUGUUGCGAUGGCGAGGCAAUGAAGCUGGGACAGCAGAUCUCCCAUGGCAGGUCUAAUGUCUGCAUAGUGAGAAGUGACUAUCCAGACGCUGUACCUGCCAUUGGAGAUCCGCAUUAAAAGCUUGGACAAGCAUUGUUGCAAUCGGAUCG